rnacentral:rRNA from 1 species
GCAACUCGACUCCAUGAAGUCGGAAUCGCUAGUAAUCGCGCAUCAGCCAUGGCGCGGUGAAUACGUUCCCGGGCCUUGUACACACCGCCCGUCACAUGACCCGAGCUGGGUGCACCCGAAGUCACUGGCCCAACCCGCAAGGGAGGGAGGUGCCGAAGGUGUGCUUGGUAAGGGGGAUGAAGUCGUAACAAGGUAGCCGUACCGGAAGGUGCGGCUGGAUCACCUCCUUU